rnacentral:rRNA from 1 species
AUUGAACGCUGGCGGCAUGCUUUACACAUGCAAGUCGAACGGCAGCGCGGGCUUCGGCCUGGCGGCGCGUGGCGAACGGGUGAGUAAUGCAUCGGAACGUGCCCAGCAGUGGGGGAUAGCCCGGCGAAAGACGGAUUAAUACCGCAUACGACCUGAGGGUGAAGGCGGGGGACCGAAAGGCCUCGCGCGCUUGGAGCGGCCGAUGUCGGAUUUGCUAGUUGGUGGGGUAAAGGCUUUCCAAGGCGACGAUCCGUAGCUGGUCUGAGAGGACGACCAGCCACACUGGGACUGAGACACGGCCCAGGCUCCUACGGGAGGCAGCAGUGGGGUAUUUUGGACAGUGGUGGCAACCCUGAUCCAGCCAUGCCGCGUGCGGGAAGAAGGCCUUCGGGUUGUAAACCGCUUUUGUUCGGGAAGAAAUCCUCUGGGCUAAUACCCCGGGGGGAUGACGGUACCGGAAGAAUAAGCACCGGCUAACUACGUG